UAAUGGUAUGUAACUUCUGAGGUUAGGUUAUAAAAGACAUUGGGGCCUCAAUCUUGGUGUUCUCUCUCUCUGCCUAGUGUCUCACUCUGGAGGAAGCCAGAUACCUUGCUGUGAGCAACCCUGUGGAGGAGAGGCCUACAUCAUGGGACACUGAAGGCUCCCGCAAACAGCCAUGGGAGUGAGCUCAGGAAUAGACUCUUCAGCCGCAGUCAAGCCGUCAGAUAACUGCAGCACUGCAUGUAAGCUUGACCACAACCUAAUGAGAGAUCCUAAUCCAGAGCCAUCCAGGAGUAAAGAAAGAAUACUCUGAUCUACCUUCCCACAGCCCCCAGUCAUUGAGGAUAAAGUCAUGGGAUCUCACUCUGACUGUGAGGCUGGAGUGCAGUGGUAUGAUUUCAAUCUCCUGGGGCCAAGCGUACUCCCACCUCAGCCUCCCAAGUAGUUGGGACUACAGGUCUGUGUUCUUAUGCUGUCCUUGUAUAGAGAUGACCUCCAGAGAAGAAAGAUCCCAGAUUCAGCUAGCAGAGGGAAGAAGCAGUUGGAUGUCGGGAAGAAGUGCCUGGACAUAGAAGAGAGGUGGUUUGACUUCAGGUGAGAGUGAUUUUCCAUUUUUGUCCCCUUUCCAGCUCCCCUCUCCAAUGAGAACCUAUGAGGAUUAUUCCUCCUGCUCUCCUCUUCGUGGUAAUGAGAUUGUCUUAAAAUUAGGUAGUUAAUAAUAGCUAACUUUACUAUGUCCUAAGAUUCAAUAAAAUAUUCUUGGCUGGGCAUGGUGGCUCACGCCUGUAAUCCUAGUACUUUGGGAGGCUGAGGAGGGUGGAUUGCCUGAGCUCAGGAGUUUGAGACCAGCCUGCACAAAAUGGUGAAACCCCAUCUCUACUAAAAAUACAAAAAUUUAGUCAGAUGUGGUGGCGUGUGCCUGUAAUCCCAGCUACUCAGGAGGCUGAGACAGAAGAAUUGCUUGAACCCGGGCACCAGCAGGUGGAGGUUGCAGUGAGCCGAGAUCAUACCAUUGCACUCCAGCCUGGGUGACAGAGUGGGACUCCAUCUCCGAAAAAAAAGAUUCUCCACAUUUACUAUCAAUUCAUCUGGGCACUCAUUCCUCUUGGGCACUGGACAAGAACUAGGGACACACUACUGCAGGUACCCAAAAAGGCUAUUGCCCUUGCUGGAAGAAGGCAGCUGCCCCAUGUGAUGAGGCAAAGGGCUCACUGAGCUGAUAACACACUGCUGUCUGUGGACCGUGGAGCUAAGAGAGUAUGGUAACAUGCUCUCUGUGACCCUGGGAUGGCAGGCACCCACAUCUGGACAUUGCCCUGGGGCCCACAUGGAGUUUGUUCCUGCUGGUGCCAAAGUAGCCAGUUCCUACACUCACUUGCUCCAGUUCCUGCACUCAUUCGCUUGCAUGCUCCCUCCUGUGAGGGGUUGAGCAGGGCAGCUGAGUAAACAUGGCACCCCUGUCUUGAGUUCCAUGAAGGGGUCAAGAAAAUAUCUUGCAUCAAAAUCAGCUGUGGUGGGAGGAACAAUCACACCAUGAAAAUCAUCAAGUGUCACCCACCUUUCCCUUUUUCAGAGAACGGCUUAUUCAUUUACCAGAACAUGACUGGAUAGUUCUAAGAAAUAAUUUAAAAGAAAAAAUAGAUAAAAGCUAAUGGCAAAUUAGAUAUUAUAGGAAUAUGAGGAAAAGUCUUGAGUUAUCAUAUUUUUAAUUUGAACAACUGAGUAAAUGGUGAUAUUAAUUACCAAGGUGAAGGAUUAUAGGAGGAAAGUUUGGUUUUAGAAGAAAAAUAAUGAAUUAGUUUUGAGCUUGUUGAAUUUGAGUAGAGAUACUCUGUGGAUACUUGGGUGAAUAGGUCAAGAGGUAAGAGCAUGGAGUUUGGGGUUAAAGAUGUAGUUUGGAUGCUGUAGCACAAGCAGUUAUUCAACCAGCUGAGCAGAGAGCUGGAGCCAGAACCCUGGGGAGUGAAGAUCAUUAGGCACCAUCAGAAGAUGGGAAGAGUUAAAGACACAAACAAUGAGAGAAAGAAGAGUCACAUGAGAAAAAGGAAGUGUUCAGUAUCACAGAGAGUUCAAAGCAAACAAGGUCAGGAAAUUAUCCAUCGCCUCUGGAAGUGCGGUGGUUGUUGGAGAGCUCAGAGAGAGCAGUUUUGUUGCAGUGGUGUCGGUGGAUGCCAGCCUGUAGUGAUUGGAGAGUGAACAAGCAGUGAUGAAGCGAAGACAGUGAGUGCAGACCACUCUAAAAUCAUUUUAAAAAUGAUUGGCUGUGCAAAGGAGGAGAGUAAGGUGGUGGCUUAAAGGGAAUGUGCAGUCACAGGAAAUUUUUAUUUGUAUUUUGGAUGUGAUCAUUCAGAUUUCUUUUCUUUCUUUUCUCUACCACCCCCCACCUUUUUUUUUUUUUUAAACAGAGUCUCACUCUGUUGUCCAGGCUGGAGAGCAUUGGUGUGAUCUUAGCUCACUGCAACCUCCGCCUUCUGAGUUCAAGCGAUUCUCCUAUCUCAGCCUCCUGAGUAGCUGGGAUUAUAGGCAUGCACCAACACACCCAGUAUUUUUUGUAUUUUUGUAGAGAUGGGGUUUCACCAUGUUGGCCAGGCUGGUCUCAAACCCCUGACCUCAAGUGAUCCACCUGCUUCAGCCUCCCAAAAGUACUGAGAUUACAGGCAUGAGCCACCAUGCCCAGCACCAGAUUUCCCUUCUAUGUUGAAGGGAAAAGACAAGUAAAUAAGGAAAAAUUGAGGAUAAAGGGAAAGAGAAGAAAUAUGGCAAGUAUUGAUGACCCCCAGUAAACCACAACCUCUGGGCUUCAUUUUCAUGUGACGUGGGCCUUAAUCUUGUGAUUUGCUUUGACCAAUGUGAAAUUAGCAAGCAUGUGCCAGCAGAAACUUGGUAAGCGUUUUUGCACAUUGCAGUUUGUCCUCUCGGUGGAAGCUAUCAGCUGCACUGUACAAAAGCUUGAACCAGACUACUGAAUAAUGAGGGACUGUGUGGACAGAACCUUGCAGGAUAACAGACCCUCCUGGGUGAUUCAGCCCCAGAUGUGCUCCUAACUCACUGAAGCCAAAUGAAUAAUUUCGAUAGAAUCAGCAGAAGAAUCACACAGUCGAGCCCAAUCCAGAUAGCAGAAUUAUGAGCAAAUAAAGAGAUGUGAUUUUAAGCCAUUUAAUGUGCGGGCAUACUGUUUUACAGCAACUGAUAACCAAAACAGGGAAAACAGACCAGUUGCCAAAUCUAUUAGCAAGACAACAUUUCAUAAAAAUUAAAGGCAUAGGUUCUGAAGCAGCACGUCAUUGGCUUUAAUACUUAAUUGCAUAAUUGAGAAAAUUAUGUAGCCUUUGGGGACUUCAGUUCAUUGUCUGUAAAAUGGUAUGAAGAUUAACUGAGAUGAUACCAUCUUAGUAAGCUCUGGAUACAUAUUUACUGGUCUACUAUUAAAGCACAUGCAAAAGGUUUAACUCCAAAGAGGAGAGACUCGUUAUUCUUUAACACAAAAGGGAGGAAAGUUUAACUGUAAGGAUGUCUUGAGGCAGGGUUCCAAGGAAUAAUAACUUAUUAAGAUGGAUUUAGUUAUACCUUCCUUAUAUUUUUUUAGCAUUUCACAGAUUAUAAAGUGUUUUCCUAUAUACUCUCUCAUUUGACUCAAUGGAGAAAGGAGGGAGAUAACUUUUAAAUGUAAAGAAACAGAAGCUAAAUUCAAACUAUACUACAAGGUUACAGUAAUCAAAACAACAUGUUACUGGUACCAAAACAGAGAUAUAGACCAAUGGAACAGAACAGAGGCCUCAGAAGCAACACCACACAUCUACAACCAUGUGAUCUUUGACAAACCAGACAAAAGCAAUCAAUGGGGAAAGGAUUCUCUGUUUAAUAAAUGGUGUUGGGAAAACUGGCUAGUCAUAUAGAGAAAGCUGAAACUAGACCCCUUCCUUAUAUCUUAUACAAAGCUAACUCCUAAUGGAUUAAAGAUUUAAACACAAGAACUAACACCAUAAAAACCCUAGAAGGAAGCCUAGGCAGCGCCAUUCAGGACAUAGGCAUAGGCAUGAACUUCAUGACUAAAACACCAAAAACAAUGGCAACAAAAGUUGACAAAUGGCAUCUAAUUAAACUUAAGAGCCUCUGCACAGCAAAAGAAACAAUCAUUAGAGUGAACUGGCAACUAACAGAUUGGGAAAAAAUUUUUGCAAUCUACCCAUCUGGCAAAGGGCUGAUAUCCACAAUCUACAAAGAACUAAAGCAGAUUUACAAGAAAACAAACAAACAAACAUAUUCAAGAGUGGGUAAAGGAUAUGAACAGACACUUUUCAAAAGAAGAAUAUGUGGCCAACAAACAUAUGAAAAAAUGUUCAUCAUCACUGGUCAUUAGAGAAAUGCAAAUCAAAAUCACAUUGAGAUACCAUCUAAUACCAGUUAGAAUGGUGAUCAUUAAAAAAUCUGGAGACAA